rnacentral:rRNA from 1 species
UACGUAGGGUGCAAGCGUUGUUCGGAAUCAUUGGGCGUAAAGCGCGUGUAGGCGGUUUGUUAAGUCGAUUGUGAAAUCCCUGGGCUCAACCGAGGAAGUGCAGUCGAAACUAACAAGCUAGAAGAAGGUAGAGAAAGGUGGAAUUCCAAGUGUAGAGGUGAAAUUCGUAGAUAUUUGGAGGAAUACCGGUGGCGAAGGCGGCCUUUUGGGCCUUUCUUGACGCUGAGACGCGAAAGCGUGGGUAGCAAAC